CACGAACCGAUGAACGACACGAACAGACUGGAAUGUCGAGGACUUGAAACACUUUUAUAGAAAAUAUGUUUUACAAAAGCGUUAAAUGAGUUGUUCACCUGUUAAGGAGGCUGGAUCUCUAUCCAGUCCGAGAAAGCUGGCGUUCUGGCUUAGUAAAAAGAAGAAAUAUAAGCUAAAUUUUGAGAGCUUUUUAACAUUAUGCAGGUCAGCGAUCAAACACUGUGAAUAUUGUUUAUAUAUUUAUUAUAAUUAUUCGGGCGUGUUGUCUGUUGAGUAACUUUUUCAUACUUUCUUCCAUACCCAAUUUAGUCAAGCUGGGUUCGAAAUCAUUGAGGUACGUAUCUAAUUUUGUGUGCUUCGAUCGAAUAUCUGAAUUUCGUUAUAUUUUGUAAUUGUACUUUCCAAUUAGGAUCAGGG
rnacentral:lncRNA from 1 species